ACAUGCCUACAACAUAGCAUUAAUGCAGUGUAUCACAUUAUAACUCCACAGUUAAGCGCACUCAUGCUAGAGCAGUAUUAGGAUGGGUGACCACCCAGGAAGCCCUAGUGUUUUACGUGCC
rfam:Picea glauca, whole genome shotgun sequence.